UACGUAGGGUGCGAGCGUUGUCCGGAAUUAUUGGGCGUAAAGAGCUCGUAGGCGGUCUGUCGCGUCUGCUGUGAAAUCCCGAGGCUCAACCUCGGGCCUGCAGUGGGUACGGGCAGACUAGAGUGCGGUAGGGGAGAUUGGAAUUCCUGGUGUAGCGGUGGAAUGCGCAGAUAUCAGGAAGAACACCCGUGGCGAAGGCGGCUCUCUGGGACGGUACUGACGCUGAGACGCGAAAGCGUGGGGAGCGAACAGG
rnacentral:rRNA from 1 species